rnacentral:rRNA from 1 species
ACAACCAGCCGAAAGGUUGGCUAAUACCGCAUGAGUUCUACGGAAGAAAGAGGGGGACCCGCAAGGGCCUCUCGCGAGCGGAGCGGCCGAUGACUGAUUAGCCUGUUGGUGAGGUAACGGCUCACCAAAGCAACGAUCAGUAGCUGGUCUGAGAGGACGACCAGCCACACUGGGACUGAGACACGGCCCAGGCUCCUACGGGAGGCAGCAGUGGGGAAUUUUGGACAAUGGGCGCAAGCCUGAUCCAGCUAUUCCGCGUGUGGGAUGAAGGCCCUCGGGUUGUAAACCACUUUUGUAGAGAACGAAAAGACAUCUUCGAAUAAAGGAUGUUGCUGACGGUACUCUAAGAAUAAGCACCGGCUAACUACGUGCCAGCAGCCGCGGUAAUACGUAGGGUGCGAGCGUUAAUCGGAAUUACUGGGCGUAAAGGGUGCGCAGGCGGUUGAGUAAGACAGAUGUGAAAUCUCCGAGCUUAACUCGGGAAUGGCAUAUGUGACUGCUCGACUAGAGUGUGUCAGAGGGAGGUGGAAUUCCACGUGUAGCAGUGAAAUGCGUAGAUAUGUGGAGGAACACCGAUGGCGAAGGCAGCCUCCUGGGACAUAACUGACGCUCAGGCACGAAAGCGUGGGGAGCAAACAGGAUUAGAUACCCUGGUAGUCCACGCCCUAAACGAUGUUAACUAGUUGUUGGGAUGUAACAAUCUCAGUAACG